rnacentral:rRNA from 1 species
ACGUAGGUGACCAGCGUUGUCCGGAUUUACUGGGCGUAAAGAGCGCGCAGGCGGUCGUUCAAGUCGAGUGUGAAAGCCCCCGGCUCAACUGGGGAGGGUCAUUGGAAACUGGGGGACUUGAGUGCAGAAGAGGAAAGUGGAAUUCCACGUGUAGCGGUGAAAUGCGUAGAGAUGUGGAGGAACACCAGUGGCGAAGGCGACCUUCUGGUCUGUAACUGACGCUGAGGCGCGAAAGCGUUGGGAGCAAACAGGA